UUUAUCAGCUCCUACGGUUUUGAGGGAUUUCUUUUUUCAAUCACGUUUAGCUCAGUUAUGUAAUUAUUGACAAAAAUCGCUAUUUCUUGACCAGUGCUAAUUUUCCUUUCAUGGAUUCUAGCAUUUGUCUCCCCAAAUGGUCCAGAGUGCACAACAAAAUAUUCGACAACAAAAUAUUCGACAAUGGCGGGAUACGAAGUAUCUUUUUAGCAUCUCCCUUCAAAAAGAGUGAUUUUUUUAAGGUUAAAGAGAUUGAGAUUGAAGGUGAAAGAUAAUCCUCGUGGUUAGGACUCGGAUGCGGUCAUCGGUGAUGCUAUCAGAAUGGUUUUUAAAUAAAUAUAGACUUUCAUUUAUGAUUUGAAUUUUUAUGGACUUUAUUGCUAUUUGGGACUUUUUAUGUUAAAUUAUGGUAUUGUGGCAUGAGACUUUAUUUUGGGGAUUUUUUAUUCUGAUUUGCAUAAAUUGCUUGCAUGAUAUUAAAUUUUAAAAUUUACAUAAAA